rnacentral:rRNA from 1 species
CGGGUCCGAAGUGACGGGGAAUGCUUAGUGGCGGACGGGUGAGUAACGCGUGAGCAACCUGCCUUGAAGUGGGGGACGAACAGUUGGAAACGACUGCUAAUACCGCAUAAUCCCUGAGGGGGGAAAGAUUUAUCGCUUUAAGAACGGCCCGCGGAAGAUUAGGUAGUUGGUGGGGUAAAGGCCUACCAAGCCUACGAUCUAUAGCUGGUCUGAGAGGACGAUCAGCCACAUUGGAACUGAGACACGGUCCAAACUCCUACGGAAGGCAGCAG